GCUUGUCACUUGGCUUUAUUUUCAUAAUUUUUUUUUGACAUUUCAGUUCGACAGACAGUUCUGCAAAAACCAAAUCACGAGUUAGUCUUGCCAGGAAAAGGGACGUACCAGUUAACAGUCCAGCUGCCCACCACUCCGGAUGAAGUCCCAGAUUCUAAGGAGAAAAUUCCAACACGUUUUGAAUCCAAGACCAAAGAAGAUGUCAAAGAACCAGGUCUGAAAUUGGCUCAUUACUGUUUAUUCAGAUCCCGGUGUUCAUUAUUGUGAUCUCUUAAAGCCUUCUUACUUUCUCAGAAAAUGCCUUAACUUCUGUAGAAUAAAGCUCAGUUUCAGAUGAGGAAGCAGCUAUUUGUAUAUUUAUACUUCUACUAUUGCAUAUCCUGGAUCUAAAAUGUAUUUUUUAAUUGAUUUUAUCGGUAUACAUUUUUUUUUGAAUUUUAUCUUUUUUUUUAUUUAAGAGGAAAAAGAGAAAAACACAAAACAAAACAAAGCAGUGUAAGGUUACACAUAAUACAGAACUACAAAAAAAAACACAUAACAGUAAGAAAAUCACCUGUUAAUAGAUUACAUAUUAUCAUCUUGGAAAUAGUUGCUCAAAUCACAGUAUCAAAGAAUACAAAGUAGACAUUCAAACAGAGAGACUGCAAACAGCUGUGUUCAAUGAUCCAAAAACAUUAAUAUAGUCAGCUAUUUAACACCCCUAAACACACUUGCUGUUAUAUCCGUUAGAGCUCUUUUUUUUUCCCUCCCUCUCUUUUUUACAACAAAAUUUACACAUUUUGGAUUUUAUUACUCCUUAGUU
rnacentral:lncRNA from 1 species